AUAAAAACUAGACUUGGGGUUCAGACUCCCAACUCUACCAAACUAGGUGGCCUUCGACAUCCAGCCUUCUCAUCCAGCCCAGCAAGAUAGUACUGAAUCCCUCAAAGGGGUGUUCAGAAGAGCAACCAAGACUCCCACAAACUGUGGGGCUAUGUACAAAUUGGCAGAUGGAGUAGGAACUGCUCUGCAUGACAAGUGCCAUCCAACCUCCUGCCCUCGCCCUGGGGAGCAUCCUCACACUGCUUCCUGCUGGAGGCUGCCAAGAGAUGAAUGUGAG
rnacentral:lncRNA from 1 species